UUGGUUUCAGAAGGUGUGGAAAAGAGAGGCCAUUUUUACAGUUGAAUGUGGAGUACAGCAGAGAAACAAAGGCUUACAGUGACCUGGGCCAUCUGAGCCACAAAUAUCUGUCACUGCUGUCACAGAGAUCCAAAGUGCUGCUCCUCUAUGGAAGGAUACUCUCAAGGCAAUCACUGAUGCUGUCUGUUCCAGGCUUUUUUCAUUGCCCUUAUACAUUUUAAUAACCAAGCCAUUAACAUACAGAAGCUUUUCAUCAUAAGCCAGGUGAGAGGUUCCUUAUCCUUCAUCAAUGGGAACUCCAUUAGUAGAUUGAUAUUUACAUCAUGCAGGAAGCAGGCAAGAAAAAAAUCCAUUGGCAUUACUUUCAGGUGGGCCUUGCUACGUGAUAUAGUGUAUGCCUUACAUGGUAUGGACUAUUCAUUAGGGCUGUUUUUAUUUUUAUUACCUUUAUUUUUAUUAGAUAUAUUACCUCCUGAGACUGUAUGAAGUGAACCAUGUCACUGGGUGAGAUUACUACUCAGUUAAUAGCAGUCCUGGAAUCAGUCAGUUGGG
rnacentral:lncRNA from 1 species